rnacentral:rRNA from 1 species
AUUGAACGCUGGCGGCAUGCCUUACACAUGCAAGUCGAACGGUAACGCGGGGCAACCUGGCGACGAGUGGCGAACGGGUGAGUAAUGCAUCGGAACGUGCCCAGAAGUGGGGGAUAGCCCGGCGAAAGCCGGAUGAAUACCGCAUGAGACCUGAGGGUGAAAGCGGGGGCUCGCAAGACCUCGCGCUUUUGGAGCGGCCGAUGUCAGAUUAGCUAGGUGGUGGGGUAAAGGACUACCAAGGCGACGAUCUGUAGCUGGUCUGAGAGGACGACCAGCCACACUGGGACUGAGACACGGCCCAGACUCCUACGGGGGGCAGCAGUGGGGAAUUUUGGACGAUGGGCGCAAGCCUGAUCCAGCCAUGCCGCGUGCGGGAAGAAGGCCUUCGGGUUGUAAACCGCUUUUGUCAGGGAAGAAACGCUCUGGGCUAAUACCCUGGGGUAAUGACGGUACCUGAAGAAUAAGCACCGGCUAACUACGUGCCAGCCGCCGCCGUAA